rnacentral:lncRNA from 1 species
UCCAACUGGAGUGGUUAUUUAUUAGAAAGUUUUCAUUACACUGAUCUAAACAAAAAUCUAAACAAGUAAAAACCAAAAGAAGUGUUUGUGAGCAGGAUGUUUAUUGUUAUAAUGCAGUGUUUAGAGGAACCAAACUGAGAUCUCCUAUCUUUCAGAAUUCAUCAAUUUAAAAGUGAAGGAAAGUGUAGCCAACACAGCUACCCUUCUAAACUGUUCGCUAUAUCAAAAUGCUAGGAUGUGUCAGGAGCUCAGAAUAUUUCAGCAAAGGAACAGAUGUCUACACAUGAAUAAGAACUUCUGAAGUUGUAUGUCUCAAAUUAAGUUAAAAGUCUUAGGAUCCCUGCAACAUAUCCACCAGGUAAAAGACGAUAUGUAUGAGCACACCUGGACCUCUGUGUCUACUGAUGGACAAACCAGC